rnacentral:tRNA from 1 species
GCGGGCGUGGUGAAAUUGGUAGACGCGCGGGAUUCAAAAUCCCGUUCCGAGAGGAGUGUCGGUUCGAGCCCGACCGCCCGCACCA